rnacentral:lncRNA from 1 species
UUCAGCUCACAUAAUCACUAUGUUACUCAAGCCCUUGUAUAUUUCAGUAUAGCGGAGAGCUAUAUCUUGCUCGUGAUUUGCGCUGCUGGGACAGCUGUGAUCUGAAUGCUCUAAGUUGCCUUUCUCGGUACACGCAGGGACGAAACGCUCGUAGGAGGCGAGAUAAAUUGCUUACAGCAGACACAGGCUGAGCCCAGCCAUGCUCAUGGCUCUGGGGAGUGAGCAGGACUGCAGCACAAGUCCACUUUUAGGAUUUCCAUAAGCCCACAUCUCUUCUCUGGCGAAGAACUUGAGGCUGAACUGCUUGGAACCGCUCUUAUCUCUGUUACCAUACGCUGUGAGCCCAGUGCUGAGCUCUGUGGUUUGAAUUAAGCCUCUUUCUCUUCACCAGAGGUGUUCCUGGUGCACGAGGACUGUCCUGGCAUCUCCUCUCAUCCUUCUUGGGAAAGGAAAUCCUGAGCAAUAUGGUGUGAUCCAAGUGGCCCUUCCAUCACCGCUAUCAUCAGAAAACACAAUGUGCUU